rnacentral:SRP_RNA from 1 species
GGUGGCUCCUCGUGUGGCGCAAUCUUGGUUAACUCCCCCAGGGCAGAAAUGCAGCAAGGGUCGCUGGGCUCUUGCGGGUGCGCGAGGGGCUUUUU